UUCAGUGUUCUUUAUGAUAUGCAAUAUAUAGAUAGAUAUAUAGAUUGAGAGCUUCACUUAGGGUUAUCCCCUUGAAAGAGAGAAGAAGAAAAGAAAAGGAUACAAAGCUGGUAAUAGUAACAUAAUGGGUCUUAUGCUUCUAAUCAAGAAGUUCAGUCUUCUUUUCCUCCUUAUUUCAGUACCAUUCUUUUCAACUUCUUUUGCAGGUUUGCAUUUUUAUCUAUUUCUUUCACUACCGCAGCCUUUCUUCCAUAUUCGUACGUCUAGUCUCUCCUUUACAAAAGAAACAUAAGAAAUAGGUUACAGAAACCACAUAGUCACAUUACAUUAGAAAUAAAUCCCGUGAGUACCAUUGUAUACAUAAUUUAUAUCUAUCUAGCUGCACCAAGCAUCAUUUGUAAGUAUAGUCUUGGUAGGGUUAACAUGCUAGCGUAAUUUUUUCUUGUUUAAGGUUGUUUUGGUUAGUUCUUGGCACAUUUCAUCAUAUUAUUUAUCUUAUGCUUUCCCGGCUCCGACGAGACUUUGCAGUCUGAAAACGAAUCCAAUACCUUUAGUUUGUUAUGUUUAAAACGUUAAGAGAACAACAAUUUCUCUGCUUCAAUUUUAUUGCCUUUUUGCAGGUCGAUCCAAGUUUGUUGAUAAGUUGGCUGACCCAGCAGAUGCAAAUUAUGANNN
rnacentral:lncRNA from 1 species